UCAACCAACAAAGAGUAGGGAUAAAGUCAAUCAUAGCAUUGGAUCAUCUAAAAAUUAUAUUUAUAUGGAUGGUCAAAUGUGAGAUUGAACAUGAGAGAGACUGCAAAUUUGUCUAAUGC